rnacentral:rRNA from 1 species
AGAGUUUGAUCAUGGCUCAGAACGUACGCUGGCGGCACGCCUAACACAUGCAAGUCGAACGAAGUAGCAAUACUUAGUGGCAGACGGGUGAGUAACAUGUGGGUAUCUACCCUUUGGCCCUGGAAUAACACGAGGAAACUUGUGCUAAUACCGGAUAAGUCUUUACGGAGAAAGCUUUAUGCACCAUUGGAUGAGCCCGCACUUGAUUAGUUUGUUGGUAGGGUAAUGGCCUACCAAGACUAUGAUCAAUAGCUGAUUUGAGAGGAUGAUCAGCCACAUUGGGACUGAGACACGGCCCAAACUCCUACGGGAGGCAGCAGUGGGGAAUCUUGCACAAUGGAGGAAACUCUGAUGCAGCGAUGCCGCGUGAGUGAAGAAGGCCUUUGGGUUGUAAAGCUCUUUCGUCGGGGAAGAAAAUGACUGUACCCGAAUAAGAAGGUCCGGCUAACUUCGUGCCAGCAGCCGCGGUAAUACGAAGGGACCUAGCGUAGUUCGGAAUUACUGGGCUUAAAGAGUUCGUAGGUGGUUGAAAAAGUUGGUGGUGAAAUCCCAGAGCUUAACUCUGGAACUGCCAUCAAAACUUUUCAGCUAGAGUAUGAUAGAGGAAAGCAGAAUUUCUAGUGUAGAGGUGAAAUUCGUAGAUAUUAGAAAGAAUACCAAUUGCGAAGGCAGCUUUCUGGAUCAUUACUGACACUGAGGAACGAAAGCAUGGGUAGCGAAGAGGAUUAGAUACCCUCGUAGUCCAUGCCGUAAACGAUGUGUGUUAGACGUUGGAAAUUUAUUUUCAGUGUCGCAGGGAAACCGAUAAACACACCGCCUGGGGAGUACGACCGCAAGGUUAAAACUCAAAUGAAUUGACGGGGACCCGCACAAGUAGUGGAGCAUGUGGUUUAAUUCGAAGAUACGCGCAGAACCUUACCAACACUUGACAUGUUCGUCGCGACUCUAAGAGAUUAGAGUUUUCGGUUCGGCCGGACGAAACACAGGUGCUGCAUGGCUGUCGUCAGCUCGUGUCGUGAGAUGUUGGGUUAAGUCCCGCAACGAGCGCAACCCUCACUUUUAGUUGCCAUCAUUAAGUUGGGCACUCUGAAAGAACUGCC